rnacentral:tRNA from 1 species
GCCCGGCUAGCUCAGUCGGUAGAGCACGAGACUCUUAAUCUCGGGGUCGUAGGUUCAGGCCCCGAGUUGGGCG